CUUCCAAAGGAUGCAAGUGAGAGAAAGAGGGAUUCUGCUGAUAGAAGAGACAUAGCAAAGAUGGGAAUGACGAUAGAUCAAGGCAAAUUACCAAGAGCUCAGCUAGCCACAGCAGUAGAAGGUCACGGUCACCAAAUGGGAGAAGCCGUACUAGAAAUGAGAGUUCUUCACGUGUUCGAGGAAGUAUUUCAAGCGACGAGCCUUCUGAUAAUGCAAAAAGGAGGUAGUGUGUCAGGCUAACAUUAUUCUUACAUUUUGAUGUUUAGCCUGUCUCAGUUUAUGAGUUGCCCUUUCUCUUGUGUAUUGAUUAAUCCAUUACUCCAAUUUAUACUGCAGAAAGAGUCAUUCUCGUAAAAACAGCAUGUCUCCGUCACCUCCAAAAUCUAGGAGCAGGUAUAUCAAUAUUCCUCCAUUCUCUGUAAUACAUGUUAAUAGUGGGAAUUUUUUGCUAGGUAGCUCGAACAUGUUCACAUAACUAUUGUAAGGUUGACAUUGGUAGUUAUGCUGAUCAUGAAUGAUCAGAAUCAUGCUAUAGACACCAAUUUCAUUUCUCACCAUGAAGGGGUAGGGCGUUUAUGAUAAGGUGGCUCUGAAACAUCAGUGGGAUUUUGAUGUUAUGUUUAGUAUAGAACUGUGUUGCAGUACAUCUCUUCAUACAAUGCUCUUUGUAAGCAAGUGCCUCAAAACUGAGUAGUGUAGGACCUGUUUACUUCUAUUCUUUGUCAAUUUGAUAUGAAUAAGCACUGAGCAGGACUCCUCUGAGUGAAGAAACAUCAGGUUCAUAUAUUACUUAUCCUUAAACUUACCCAUUUAGUAUUAUGUUUCAUCUCUAGACGAGUUUCGCGGUCUCCACCUAGCAAGCAUUCUCACCGCAGGCAUUCACCUUAUUCAUCUGCUGAAAGGUAAGCGCUUAAUUGGUACUUUAUUUGUCAUUACAUUGUUCCAGGUGAUAUUUUGGUGUGAAUUUUCAGCAAUUUAUAGAUUCAAGUUGUUAUCUAUUCAAACUUGCUGUAGUUGAUUUCUGGGAAAUGGAUUAGUACAACAGGGCCAAAAAAGAGGACAUAUUAAGGAUGUUCAGGAUAAAAAGGGUGGUGUCAUGAAAAAUUGUGUUUUGGAUUUUGUAAGAUACCUCUGAUUAAAUCCUAAAUUUGCGCAGUUUGCCAUAGUGUCUUGUGUUGUGUCAACUUGAGAAAUUUGAAAAUAGUUUCACCUGGAACUUUGUUGAAUUGUAACUUGAGAAAUUAGAACAAGCAUUAAGGCCUCCAUGAGGUUAUCAAGUCUAGAACUUUCUGAAUUGUAUUUUGUUGCGGAGUGCAAUUGCAGGGUCGGCAUUCCAUCCAUGCUUCAUCCUAGACCUUUUCAGGAAUGCGUACCCGUGUUAUUGUGGAGCCCUGUGUGCGCUACAGCACCUGCACUGUAAUCACACUCCAUCUGUUAAACUAUGUCUAAUCAUUGCAGGAAGAAGCGGUCGAGAUCCAGAACUCCGGUCAAGAGGAGGUAGAAGAAACUAGCUGGUUUUGUUUGUUUCACCUAGGGGUGCUUGCCCUUUGUCCUUCCGAUGAAGAAACAGCAUUUGCACGCCCACGAAACAAGAUGCUGGAUCUAGCUUCCAACAAAGAAGACGACUCGACGGCUCACGUGAUGGAUGUUGUUUGAAGGAUGAUGCAUGGUGCCCAGCGGAAGAUAUGUCCGGUUUGCCAAUAUUAGGAUAUGUAAUGUCUUGUACAAGCAGCAGACUUCAUAAUUUGUAGCGCUAGCGUCCCUUUUAACUAUUUUAUUACUUGUAUUUUCUCUUAAGGUCAUGUAUUAUUAGUAUGCAAGGAGACUGGUCGAGUUUCGUCGUGACAUGCUGCGAUGUAAUUUUGUAUGGUUAUAUGCACUAGCCUAUCCCUGAAUCAUAAUUAGGUCUGGAAAAUGUGUUGCAGGCCUCCACAUGUAAUUUAUCUUAUCAUAUGGACAUGCUGGAAUUUAUUCAGCAUUCAGUUGCAGUAACUAAAGCAUCCCAUUAUAUUUUUUCUACCUUGGUUUACUGUUGACGAGUUAGAAAGCAGACUGUAAAUCAGGGAAAAUAUAUUUGAGGUGUUGUGCUGGACAUGCACGUUGUCGUGGCUUCAAAUGGAUGAGGAAAAGGCAGAUUGGUUGCACCAUGAUGUCGUGAAUAUUUCUAUUGAAUUAUGUUUUGUCCUUAAUUACUAGGCGG
rnacentral:lncRNA from 1 species